CAACUCAAGCCAGCAGUAACGUUCCUUGUCAGUUCUACUUUCACUUCUGACAGCUGAUACCAUGGCAGUGCCAAGAAUGUUCCUACCAUGUAGUUGCUUCAGUUUCACUUCACGUCAUGUGACUGCGGCCAUGCUGGAGCACUGCCUUUAGUCGAACAAAUCGACCCCAGGACUUAUUCUUUGUGGUGUAUCUCGGACUUCUGAGACCAAGUGUCCAAACUGAAGCAGCUACACUGAGGAAGAACCAUUUAACAAUAGACGCAGCUGUUAAAAUCACUUUAAGCUUAAAUAUAUAUCAUGAGGUAUGACCUGGUAAUUGACACAGUUCCACUGCAAUUCUCUGGAGCUAUCUUUAUCUAAUGCAUCCCUUUAUCACAUUUGCUUGCAAUUUCUAGAACGUUGAGCAACUACUUAGAGACUUUCCUCUUUUUUGAAUGCAGAAGCAUCAUCACUGUUGUUGUUGUUAUCAUUGUUGCCACCACUGUUGUUGUUUCUCAGUAGCAUCAGUUCUAUAGAUCUGCUAGAUAUCCCCGUGCUUUUCUAUAUUAUCUCCUUUUUACAUGCAAGUCUAUUGUCGCCUACAAAGAUAGAAGAUCAUGAGGCACUCAACUACGAGAAACACUAGCUAGUACAUAAAUAUGGUGAUGUAAAUGAUUUAAAUAACAUCUUGUGCAUU